GUGGGGAAUAUUCCGCAAUGGACGAAAGUCUGACGGAGCAACGCCGCGUGAGUGAUGAAGGUUUUCGGACUGUAAAGCUCUGUUGUUUAGGACGAAAGUGCCUGUUGCAAAUAGUUACAGGUAUUGACGGUACUGAACGAGGAAGCCACGGCUAACUACGUGCCAGCAGCCGCGGUAAUACGUAGGUGGCAAGCGUUGUCCGGAAUUAUUGGGCGUAAAGAGCAUGUAGGCGGGAAUCUAAGUCUGUUGUGAAAAUGCGGGGCUCAACCCCGUAUUGCGAUGGAAACUGGGUUUCUUGAGUGCAGGAGAGGAAAGGGGAAUUCCCAGUGUAGCGGUGAAAUGCGUAGAUAUUGGGAGGAACACCAGUGGCGAAGGCGCCUUUCUGGACUGUGUCUGACGCUGAGAUGUGAAAGCCAGGGUAGCGAACGGGAUUAGAUACCCUAGUAGUCC
rnacentral:rRNA from 1 species